CCUACGGGUGGCAGCAGUGAGGAAUAUUGGUCAAUGGACGAGAGUCUGAACCAGCCAAGUAGCGUGAAGGAUGACUGCCCUAUGGGUUGUAAACUUCUUUUAUAUGGGACUCAAAUGUUCCACGUGUGGGCUUUUGUAUGUACCAUAUGAAUAAGGAUCGGCUAACUCCGUGCCAGCAGCCGCGUUAAUACGGAGGUACCGAGCGUUAUCCGGAUUUAUUGGGUUUAAAGGGAGCGUGGGUGGAUUGUUAAGUCAGUUGUGAAAGUUUGCGGCUCAACCGUAAAAUUGCAGUUGAAACUGGCAGUCUUGAGUACAGUAGAGGUGGGCGGAAUUCGUGGUGUAGCGGUGAAAUGCUUAGAUAUCACGAAGAACUCCGAUUGCGAAGGCAGCUCACUGGACUGCAACUGACACUGAGGCUCGAAAGUGUGGGUAUCAAACAGGAUUAGAUACCCCAGUAGUC
rnacentral:rRNA from 1 species